GCCUCUUGACAAGCCAUAAGAGGUCAAGCCUGCCCAGUGACAUUGUUCAACGGCCGCGGUAUCCUAACCGUGCGAAGGUAGCGUAAUCACUUGUUCUUUAAAUGAGGACUAGUAUGAAUGGCUUCACGAAAGCUAUGCUGUCUCCUUUAUCCCAUCAGUUAAACUAAUCUCCCCGUGAAGAAGCGGGGAUACACCUAUAAGACGAGAAGACCCUAUGGAGCUUUAAACACCUUCAAACACUUGAUUCUUUAUUUAUAACUUCCAGUAAAACCUAAUUAAGCCCAUCAUUUUGUUUUAAGUUUUAGGUUGGGGUGACCACGGAGACAAAUUCAACCUCCACGUAGAAAAGGGACUUUCCUAAGCAAAAAGCUACAUCUUUAUGCAUCAACAUAUUGACUUAAAUUGACCCAAUUGCUUGAUCAACGAACCAAGUUACCCU
rnacentral:rRNA from 1 species